rnacentral:misc_RNA from 1 species
AACCUAGCACACCUGCGGUGUGUACCUGCGGAAGGAUCAUUAAAAAGAGUGUGUACCCCUCUGUAAAAUGAGUGGGUUACCUCCCGUCCUUUGUUGACCUCUUAGGAGGUUAUUUUGAACUUUCUGCUUCGGUGGGGUUAAACCUACCGGAACACCCUCAAAUUCUUAUCAUUUAAAAAUUGUUCAGUCUGAUUUUUGUUAAUAAAAACAAAAAACUUUCAACAAUGGAUCUCAGAUCGG